rnacentral:rRNA from 1 species
AGAGUUUGAUCCUGGCUCAGAAUUAACGCUGGCAGCGUGCAUAACACAUGCAAGUCGAGCGGGACUGUUUGCGAUUACAUCAAGAGCAGUUUAGCGGCAGACGAGUGAGUAACACGUAAGAAAUCUACCCCAAAGUAGGGAACAACUUGCCGAAAGGUAAGCUAAUACCCUAUAUAAUCCCGAGUUGGCAUCUACUUGGG